UUCCACUGAAGUGCGUGAAUUUCAUACCAAACCCAUACUUCGCAUUCCACCUUUACUGUCAAACCGGGAGAAAUAUUACUGAAAACAAUAGAACACCAAGAUAAAUAUACCUUUAAAGAAAUAAACCUCGUCCAGUUCUAUCGGUAGAGGUGUUUCUCAAUAAAGAGAAUUGCCUGAGAGAAACGACAGAAGUGUUUGGAGAGAUCGUUCACCCCUUUUUCUACGUUAUCAGUACUUGUGUAGCGUGGGGGCUCGUGCCAGGGCCCGGUAGGAGCCGGCACCAUUGCGUCCAACAAGUGGAGUGCCAACGGCAGCCCGGAGCAGGGGCUGGAGGAUGGGGGUGAUGAACUGGACAAGGCCAUG